GGUGUAGCCAAGCGGUAAGGCAACGGACUUUGACUCCGUCAUUUCGCUGGUUCGAAUCCAGCCAUC
rnacentral:tRNA from 1 species